rnacentral:misc_RNA from 1 species
GGAAGGAUCAUCAUUGGUAUUCUUUGGUUGGGGGGGAGUGGGAUUCCCCUUUUUCUAUUGAUUCCCAGCAAACAGACGGCAGCUUUUGGGUUGUGGUUGACUGAGACAGCGAGAACGGAACGAGGGAGCAGAAACAACUUUCAACAACGGAUCUCUUGGCUCUCACAUCGAUGAAGAACGUAGCAAAGUGCGAAAAGUAGUGUGAAUUGCAGGAUUCCGUGAAUCAUCGAGUGUUUGAACGCAACUUGCGCUCCCCGGCAUUCUGGGGAGCAUGUCUGUUUGAGGAUCGUGAACACAGCUCCAGUCAGCCCUGGUGUUUUUUGGUGUCGGGUUUGCAGCAGCCACACCGUUGGUGCAAACACGACGACAACGGCAUCGAGGCUGGAGAUUGAGUGUGAGGAUUUACCUUGGCGCGCGCGAGACAAGGUUCACUCGAAAUGGAGUUGGCUUGGCGUGUGGCUUGCUGUAAAAGAGCAGGCGAGUCCGACCUCGUUUUUGAUCCCGACUGGUGGAGAGCGUCUAGCUUGGAAGACAGUCUGCGGAGCAAAAAACGGGACGAGAUCACCACACAUCCCCCGCUGGGUUGGUUGUUUUUGGGGUGCCAGCGCGCACACCAGCAACAACCACCGAGUUGGGCCAGGCAUCGAGACAACCGGGAUGCAUUGCGUUGGUCCUCCUGCAGUGGUUGGAGGCAAGCGUAGCGAUUCAAGGCGAUCUCAAAUCAGACAAGACGACCCGCUGAAUUUAAGCAUAUAAGUAAGCGGAGGAAAAGAAACUAACCAGGAUUCCCCCAGUAACGGCGAGUGAAGCGGGAACAGCUCAACUUUGGAAUCAGCCAGCGGGGUCACAGCCCUGGCCGAAUUGUAGUUUCAAGAGGGAGAGGUUGAGGACACGGCGCGCGCAGGAGCAAGUUCUUUGGAACGAGACAUCACAGAGGGUGACAAUCCCGUGCAUGGCCGGCGCGCGCGCGUCCAGCAAAGACGCUCCCGUCCAAGAGUCGGGUUGUUUGGGAGUACAGCCCAAAGCGGGUGGUAAGCUUCAUCUAAGGCUAAAUACGGGUGAGAGACCGAUAGCGAACAAGUACCGUGAGGGAAAGGUGAAAAGCACUCUGAAGAGAGAGUGAAAAGCACGUGAAAUUGUUGAAAGGGAAACGCUUGGAAGCAGUCGAGGCCGGCGCUGGUCGGUGGGCGGCUUUUUGCAGCGGCGGCCCGUUUUUGCGGGUGUGCCGGUGCACGCCCACGCUUCAACGACCAGCCGCCGGCGUGUCAACAUCAGUUUGGGGAGCCAAUGUGGGAAAAGGCUGGCAAGACCUGUUGGUUGGCUGGCCGGUCCUAGUGGCGGCCAGCCAAGCUUGCCCAGCACAUACCACAAGACCAGACUGAGGCCAGCGGCGCAGGCUGUGGUGUGGACCUGGGUUAGACGCGGCGCGGCCAGCGGUGCAGGCGGGAGACAGCGCAGCUCGACUCUUGCCGACGACUGGCAGCGCGCGCGUCAGGCCAGGGCCCGUUGCCCACCCGUGGUGGUGGGGCAGCGACAGCCUGCGCAUCGAGGAUGUUGACGAAAUGGUUCCAAACGACCCGUCUUGAAACACGGACCAAGGAGUCUAACAUGGAUGCGAGUAUGUGGGUGGGCUAAACCCAGAUGCGCAAUGAAAGUGAGUUUGCACAAGAGGUGGGAUCUUUUUACACCAGUAAAAAGAGCACCAUCGACCGGACUCGCCAUGGCUGCGGCCUGAGAGAUCCGAGUAGGAGCAUGCAUGUUGGGACCCGAAAGAUGGUGAACUAUGCCUGAAUAGGGUGAAGUCAGACGAAAGUCUGAUGGAGGCUCGCAGCGAUUCUGACGUGCAAAUCGAUCGUCGAAUUUGGGCAUAGGGGCGAAAGACUAAUCGAACCAUCUAGUAGCUGGUUCCUGC